rnacentral:rRNA from 1 species
AACGAACGCUGGCGGCAUGCCUAACACAUGCAAGUCGAACGAGAUCUUCGGGUCUAGUGGCGCACGGGUGCGUAACGCGUGGGAAUCUGCCCUUGGUUCGGAGUAACAGUUGGAAACGACUGCUAAUACCGGAUGAUGACGAAAGUCCAAAGAUUUAUCGCCAGAGGAUGAGCCCGCGUAGGAUUAGCUAGUUGGUGUGGUAAAGGCGCACCAAGGCGACGAUCCUUAGCUGGUCUGAGAGGAUGAUCAGCCACACUGGGACUGAGACACGGCCCAGACUCCUACGGGAGGCAGCAGUGGGGAAUAUUGGACAAUGGGCGAAAGCCUGAUCCAGCAAUGCCGCGUGAGUGAUGAGGGCCUUAGGGUUGUAAAGCUCUUUUACCCGGGAUGAUAAUGACAGUACCGGGAGAAUAAGCUCCGGCUAACUCCGUGCCAGCCGCCGCCGUAA